ACACAUGCAAGUCGAGCGGUACGGCCCUUUCGGGGGUACACGAGCGGCGAAGGGGUGAGUAACACGUGGGUGACCUGCCCUCAGCUCUGGAAUAAGCCUGGGAAACUGGGUCUAAUACUGGAUAUGACCUCAUGACGCAUGUUGGGGGGUGGAAAGCCUUGUGCGGCUGGGGAUGGGCCCGCGGCCUAUCAUCUUGUUGGGGGGGUGAUGGCCUACCAAGGCAACAACGGGUACCCGGCCUGAGAGGGCGACCGGCCACACUGGGACUGAGACCCGGCCCACACUCCUACGGGAGGCAGCAGUGGGGAAUCUUGCGCAAUGGGCAAAAGCCUGACCCACCCACGCCGCGUGAGGGAUGACGGCCUUCGGGUUGUAAUCCUCUUUCCCCUCCAACAAAGCGUAAGUGACGGUAGGGGAAAAAAAAGCACCGGCCAACUACGUGCCAGCAGCCGCGGUAAUACGUAGGGUGCAAGCGUUGUCCGUAAUUAUUGGGCGUAAAGAGCUCGUAGGCGGUCUGUUCGCGUUCGGCUGUGAAAACUCGGGGCUUCAACUCCGAGCUUGCAGUCGAUACGGGCAGGCUAUAGUUCGGCAGGGGAGACUGGAAUUUCCUGGUGUAGCGGUGAAAUGCGCAUAUAUCAGGAGGAACACCCGGUGGCGAAGGCGGGUCUCUGGGCCGAUACUGACGCUGAGGAGCGAAAGCGUGGGGAGCGAACAGGAUUAGAUACCCUGGUAGUCCACGCCGUAAAACGUUGGGCGCUAGGGUGUGGGAUCCCUUCCACGGGUUCCGUUGCCGCAGCUAAUUCGCAUUAAGCGCCCGCGCCUGGGGAGUACGGCCGCAAGGCUAAAACUCAAAGGAAUUGACGGGGGUCCCGCACAAGCGGCGGAGCAUGUGGAUUAAUUCGAUGCAACGCGAAGAACCUUACCUGGGUUUGACAUACACUGGAAAGCCGUGGAGACAUGGCCUCCGCAAGGCCGGUGUACAGGUGGUGCAUGGCUGUCGUCAGCUCGUGUCGUGAGAUGUUGGGUUAAGUCCCGCAACGAGCGCAACCCUUGUCUCAUGUUGCCAGCGGGUUAUGCCGGGGACUCAUGGGAGACUGCCGGGGUCAACUCGGAGGAAGGUGGGGACGACGUCAAGUCAUCAUGCCCCUUAUGUCCAGGGCUUCACACAUGCUACAAUGGCCGGUACAGAGGGUUGCUAAGCCGUGAGGUGGAGCGAAUCCCACAAAGCCGGUCUCAGUUCGGAUCGGGGUCUGCAACUCGACCCCGUGAAGUCGGAGUCGCUAGUAAUCGCAGAUCAGCAAUGCUGCGGUGAAUACGUUCCCGGGCCUGCACACACCGCCCGUCA
rnacentral:rRNA from 1 species